UCCUCCCGGACCGGGGCACGAACCCGUGUCCCCUGCAUCGGCAGGCGGACUCUCAACCACUGCGCCACCAGGGAAGCCCGGCAGCUCAGUCUCUUUGAGGAUGUCAAGGUGCAGCAUGAGUCUUUGAUGUGUACUCAAUUCAGGCAAACCUAGCAACUUGGAAAGUGUCAUAUACAUCAAGUUCAGAUCCGAACCAGAAUCCCACACUGACCAUGGGCUACAACUCCUGCCAUGCCAGAGAAGGCUUGAGAUAUCGAACCAUCCUAGCAUCCCUGGAAUAAAUCCCACUAGAUCAUGGUAUGUGAUCCUUUUACCGUAUUGUUGAAUUUGGUUUACUAAUAUUUUGUUGAGGAUUUUUGCCUCUAUGUUCAUUAGGGAUAUUGAACUGUAAUUUUCUUUUUUUGUUGUGUUCUUGUCUGAU